ACAUCGAUCGAUCUCAGCCCCCGAAUCCCCAAAAAGCUGCAGAUUUAAUCCAUAAUUCUCUAUGUUCUUCUUUUCCUUGAUUUUCAAGGAAAAUGUAUGUAUUGAUAGAUUAGGAUAUGGGUUUGAUUAAUAGUACGGAAUUACCGGUGGUGGUGGGGAGGCGUAGGAUACCCCGAUCACUGGCGGAAGAGGGGUGUUGUCCGGUGGGGGUUGUGGGUGUGUGGGUUUAUGGGGUGGUGAGGGUGGUUGGGUUUGAUGUGGAGGUGGUGGUGGGGAAUGAUGGUGGGUGGUGGGUGGCGGUGGAGAUUGAGGUUGUUGUGUUGGUGAUGGUGGUGGGUGGUGCCAUUGUUGUGGUGGCGGUGGAGGUGGUGGUGUUGGUAGAAUGCAUCCAGAUGAUGGUGGUGGUGGCGGAGGAAGUGAAUGGGAUGAUGGAGGUGGAGGCGAGGUGCUGACGUGGCCGGGUGGAGAAUUGUCCGGUGAUGGAACUGGAAUAUGUUGGGGUGGAGGUGGUGAGGUUUGGCUUCCAUGAGGCGGCGAUUGGUGGCUACCGUGUGGUGGAGAUGGAGUGCUUCCCUGUGGUGGAGAUCCAUGGCUUCCAUGUGGCGGUGAUGGUACAGGUUGACCUGCUGGUGGAGAUCCGUGGCUUCCAUGUGGCGGUGAAUGGUGGCCUCCAUGUGGCGGUGAAUGGUGGCUUCCUUGUGGCGGAGAUCCUUGGCCUCCAUGUGGCGGUGAUGGUACAGGUUGACCUGCUGGUGGAGACCCGUGGCUUCCAUGUGGAGGCGAUCCGUGGCUUCCUUGUGGCGGAGAUCCUUGGCCUCCGUGUGGUGGUGAUGGUAUAGGUUGACCCGUUGGUGGCGAUUGAUGGCUACCAUGUGGCGGAGAAUGGUGGCUACCAUGUGGCGGCGAUUGGUGGCUUCCUUGAGGUGGAGAAGGUGUGCUUCCCUGUGGUGGAGAAGGUAUGCUUCCCUGAGGUGGGGAUCCCUGACUUCCAUGUGGCGGUGAUGGCACAGGUUGUCCAGUUGGUGGUGUGAUCUGGGACACUGGUGGUGGUGGUGGAUAAUGGAUUGAUGGAGUAGUUCCCUCUCUAGGCGGUGGUGGAGGGUGUAACUUUGUAUUUGGUGAACUCUCAGAAGUAGGCGGUGGUGGUGAUGGCUGAACAGAUGGCGGAUGUGGUGUAGGCAUGGUAGAAGGGGGUUGAGACGGUGUCGGAGUCGUUGGUGUCGUUGGAGUAGGAACUGACGUCGGAGUAGGAGCCGACGGUGACGUCGGAGUAGGAGCUGACGGUGUAUUGGGACCAGAAGGUGACGUCGGGGUAGGAGCUGACGGUGUAGUGGGAACAGAAGGUGACGUCGGAGAAGGAGUUGAAGGUGAAGUCGGAGUAGGAGAAGAUGACGGCGCCGGCGAUGAAACACCACCACAUUGUAGCUUCCUACAAUCAACAGGACGAGCAUCUCCAGAGGAACACUCCCUAACUGAUCGCUGGUUCGUCUUUCCAAUAAUACAAUUCUUCCCGUCAUCAAACACCUUACCACCACCACCUCCGGCAGCAGAGCACGACGGCGCUUCACCAGUGAA
rnacentral:lncRNA from 1 species